rnacentral:misc_RNA from 1 species
CCAUAGCCCCGGUUGCAGUGGAUCCCGAUUUUUCAUCGGGAGCAGCGGAAAACGGGACGAACC